rnacentral:rRNA from 1 species
GACGAACGCUGGCGGCGUGCUUAACACAUGCAAGUCGAACGAAAAGAGGGAAAGAGCUUGCUCUUUCCGGAAUUGAGUGGCAAACGGGUGAGUAACACGUAAACAACCUGCCUUCAGGAUGGGGACAACAGACGGAAACGACUGCUAAUACCGAAUAAGUUCCAAGAGCCGCAUGGCCCAUGGAAGAAAAGGUGGCCUCUACCUGUAAGCUAUCGCCUGAAGAGGGGUUUGCGUCUGCUUAGCUGGUUGGAGGGGUAACGGCCCACCAAGGCGACGAUCAGUAGCCGGUCGGAGAGGAUGAACGGCCACACUGGAACUGAGACACGGUCCAGACUCCUACGGGAGGCAGCAGUGGGGAAUCUUCCGCAAUGGGCGAAAGCCUGACGGAGCAACGCCGCGUGAGUGAUGACGGCCUUCGGGUUGUAAAACUCUGUGAUCCGGGACGAAAAGGCAGAGUGCGAAGAACAAACUGCAUUGACGGUACCGGAAAAGCAAGCCACGGCUAACUACGUG